rnacentral:rRNA from 1 species
UACGUAGGGGGCAAGCGUUGUUCGGAAUUACUGGGCGUAAAGCGCGCGUAGGCGGUCUGGCAAGACAGAGGUGAAAUCCCCGGGCUCAACCUGGGAACUGCCUUUGUGACUGCAUAGCUAGAGUACGGUAGAGGGGGAUGGAAUUCCGCGUGUAGCAGUGAAAUGCGUAGAUAUGCGGAGGAACACCGAUGGCGAAGGCAAUCCCCUGGACCUGUACUGACGCUCAUGCACGAAAGCGUGGGGAGCAAACAGG